UAAGGAAUAUUGGUCAAUGGGCGGAAGCCUGAACCAGCCAUGCCGCGUGCAGGAUGACUGCCCUAUGGGUUGUAAACUUCUUUUGUCCAGGAAUAAACCUAGCAUACGUGUAGGUAGCUGACAGUGUACUGGAAGAAUAAG
rnacentral:rRNA from 1 species